rnacentral:lncRNA from 1 species
GGUCAAUUUGCCUCCCACAAUGAUACUGUGUGUUCUCCUGCUUAACUAGGUGGGAACCAGCAGGGUCACACAAGCAGCCUCCACCCUUGAGAGGAAUGAAUUCCUCUCUAUUCCAGCCAACACCACAAAAUACUCUGGAAAGAAGACCAGAGCUCUCUCUUUCUCUUCUCCUCUGCCAUGAUGACUUUGGAGACCACAAAUUGCAAAUGAUGUUAGCUACAAGAUGGAGAAGAGCUGCUGACCUGCUGAGGACUACGGCUUGAAUGAGUGUGGCAGCUAGUCUUCAAAGACAGCCCCAGUAAAUCACACCUCCUACUAUUCAUACCUGUUUUGGUCUUUUUGGGGUGCUAUAACAAAAUAUCAUGGACUGGGUGGCUUAUAAGCAGCACAUAGUUAUUUCUCACAGUUCUGGAGGCUGGGAAGUCCAAGAUCAAGGCUCUGACAGAUCCAGUGUUUGGUGAGAGAUUCCUGGUUCAUAGAAGGCUGUCUUUUCACUGUGUCCUCACAUGGUAGAAGGAGCAAGGGAGCUCUAUGGGGUCCCUUUUAUAAGGGCACUAAUCUCAUCCAUGACGGCUCCACCCUCAUGACCUAAUCACCUCU